CUUUUUGAUCUUUAGUUCUUGAGUAUUGUCAAUAUAUAAUGUACUUCGUGCAAUUUGUGUUGUUAGACAUAUUGUAAUUCAUGAAAUUAUCAUGGUAUUACAUAUUUCCCAAACAUCAAACUCUAGAUCAUCCGAGUUAGGUGUGAUGACACAUCCAUCAAUAUGUUUGUAUUAGUUUUUGGAUAACCUAGCACAUUUCAUACUCCUACUUCAUGAAUGAUAAUUCGUCCUAUCUAUUGGUGUGGAGGCUAAAAUCGUACAUGGAUUUUCUCCUGGAUGCAAGUAGAAAAGACUUCCUAAAUUUUUAGAUGAAAAUCAAAAAGAUUGAGGAAGAAAGAGGAGGAAGAAAGAGGAGAAAAAAAGAAGAUUGAUGAAGAAAAUCGAGAAAGAGAGGAGAUUGAAAACGCAGCGGUAUUAAUAGCAUUGUGCUAUCAUACCAUACUGAAUUUGGAGAAUGCAUUUGUAUUUCAUUGAUUUUCAAACAAUGAAACCAUAACUAAGUAAUCCUUCUAUUUUUGCUCCAAACACCAAGCUUGUGUCUUUUCC